UCAAUAUAUUCACCUGUAAUUACCUCCCGGAAAUGAAACGCUAACUAGCCGCUAAUGUGGCUAUCAUUCAGAACUACACAUCCUGUCACAAGCAUUUCCCUCAAGACACAUUUCUCCAUGCAAACUCUCAUCAACAAGUAUCAAGUAACCUAGCAAGUACAUAUUAUAGCCUCUUUUUUUUUCUCGUGUAAUUAAUUGAUAUUGUGUAUUUCUCAUGUGUAUUUUUGUUGAUUAUUUUACAAAUGACCUAGCUAACUACCUUAGUAUUUUCACAUUAUUAUAAUUUUUGUAAAUUUACCUUCUGGCUUUUGUAUUGAAAUAGCUAACGUUAGGUCUCUCCAUCGAUCAGAAGUAUGUUGCUGUGCUAUAUACCGGAUUGUAACCACUUACUUCAAUAAGUUCACAUGUGCAUUUUAUAAAUAAAAUAAUAAAAGUAAUUUGUGUUAGGUUUUUUAAUGUGGUGACAUGCUAGCUACCAUUAGCCCACCAGGGAAGGGAUAUUUAUCUUGCUGGUUAAUGCUGACUCACCGUUCGUAUUGUAGUGAAGCAGGUCUCGAACCCUCGACCUUCUAGCCCUUAUUAAUUAAACCCCAGGGGUCGUUACACUCAUCCCUCCUUUUUCAAAGAGCGCGUCCUCGCGCUAGCUUGCGAACCCUACGUCUUUACAGGAACGCGCGCGCGCACACACUCUCACUUGCCAAGCACGCGCACUGUCGUGGACGCAAGGGUCCGAUCCCACUUCUGACACCAGUGUAAUGAAACAGGCAGGGAAGCAGGACUCGGACCCUCGACCUUUCUUGGCCGAAAGUCCAGCGCGCGCUAUAAGCGGCACAGUCGAUAUCCGCUCUUAUAACCCCAACCCCCCCCCCCCAGGGUCGUUACAGUAGAGCAGAUAGAGGGGACGUUGUUCCAGCUGCAGUGACACCACUGUUCUGUGUGGAGUCAGACACGCCAGCUUUACGUUAGUCCGGGAACCAUGGCAAUGACAGUUGGUUAGCUAAAGUGUCGCCGCUUAGAAAAGGUCUGACUGCACGAACGGUACUGACAGGAGGACGAGGCCCGUGACGAGAAUGAUGAUCCAGUGACAGUGUUUAAAAACCAUUUACAAGACAUUUACAUUUCACUGUUGUAAAACCUAUUUACAAGAUAUUUACAGUUCACUGUUGUAAAACCUAUUUACAAGAUAUUUACAGAUGUUCACUGUUAAAUCUAUUUACAAGAUAUUUACAGAUGCUCACUGUUGUAAAACCUAUUUACAACAUAUUUACAGCUCACUGUUGUAAAACCUAUUUACAAGAUAUUUACAGUUCACUGUUGUAGUGCUGCCUUUGGGAGCAUGUGGUCCUUGAAACACUCCUGUAAUCCAGCAAUAUGAGUGUGCCAGAGGUCGUCACGCUGGACGGGAGGCUGUGGUGGUCCACGAUAACCAAGAAGCAGGUGUCCCUUCCAGUGAUGUGGAACUGACCUUGGACUUGGACCUGGUGCCAGGAAGGAUGGUCUUCACAGAGGCAUUAAGACCCUCCCUCCGCUUGGAUAUAGAAAUCCUUCGACCUCACUUCCUCUUCAAUGGUCAGGUCCCUUUUAGGCACAAUAGGAACACUUGACCUCCACCAGCAGACCAUCCGGUGAGGCACCCAGGAUCCCAGACCAUCCGGUGAGGAUCCCAGCCUGUCCGGUGAGGCACCCAGGAUCCUAGACUGUCCGGUGAGGCACCCAGGACCCCAGACCGUCCGGUGAGGGGCACCCAGGAUCCCAGACCGUCUGGUGAGGGGCACCCAGGAUCCCCCGACCGUCCGGUGAGGCACCCAAGACCCCAGACCGUCUGGUGAGAGGCACCCAGGAUCCCAGACCGUCUGGUGGGGUGUGGCACCCAGGACCACAGACCGUCUGGUGAGAGGCACCCAGGACCCCAGACCGUCUGGUGAGGGGUACUCAGGAUCCCAGACCGUCCGGUGAGGCACCCAGACCGUCUGGUGAGGGGCACCCAGGAUCCCAGACCGUCUGGUGAGGGGCACCCAGGAUCCCAGGCCCUGUGACCACAAAGCCCUGACUCUUGCACAUCCAUCCUUGUAGACAUUUUGAAUUCCUUGAUGCCCCUCCCUCUUUGUCAUCUGUCCCCCACAUUAUAGACAGUUUUUUUCCCAUCAACUUUUAAUUAAUAACUUGGGAUUUUUUACAACUUGACAUAUCAAUCAUAAUAGUGGGAAUGAGCCUACAGAUCCAGACUGUGUGAGGGCAUGUACCACUCAGAAUAAAUAAAUACUGUUCCUUUGAA